rnacentral:rRNA from 1 species
GAUCAUGGCUCAGGAUGAACGCUGGCGGCGUGCUUAACACAUGCAAGUCGAACGAAGCACUUUAUUUGAUUUCCUUCGGGACUGAUUAUUUUGUUGACUGAGUGGCGGACGGGUGAGUAACGCGUGGGUAACCUGCCUUGUACAGGGGGAUAACAGUUGGAAACGGUUGCUAAUACCGCAUAAGCGCACGGCAUCGCAUGAUGCAGUGUGAAAAACUCCGGUGGUAUAAGAUGGACCCGCGUUGG